GCCUGGGUGGCUCAGUCAGUUAAGCAUCUGACUUCAGCUCAGGUCAUGAUCUCACCCUUUGUGGGUUCGAGCCCCACGUCGGGCU
rfam:Felis catus isolate Cinnamon breed Abyssinian chromosome C1, whole genome shotgun sequence.